CCUACGGGUGGCAGCAGUGAGGAAUAUUGGUCAAUGGGCGGGAGCCUGAACCAGCCAAGUCGCGUGAGGGAAGACGGUCCUAUGGAUUGUAAACCUCUUUAGGCGGGGAGCAAGGCCGGGCACGCGUGCCCGGAGGGAGAGUACCCGCAGAAGAAGCAGCGGCGAACUCCGGGCCAGCAGCCGCGGUAAUCCGGCGGAUGCGCGCUUUAUCCGGAUUGAUUGGGUUGACAGGGUGCGUAGGCGGAUUUUUAAGUCAGCGGUAAACUGUCCGGGCUCAACCCGGGCCGGCCGUUGAAACUGGGGAUCUUGAGUGGGCGAGAAGUAUGCGGAAUGCGUGGUGUAGCGGUGACAUGCAUAGAUAUCACGCAGAACUCCGAUUGCGAAGGCAGCAUACCGGCGCCCGACUGACGCUGAGGCACGAACGCGUGGGGAUCGAACAGGAUUAGAUACCCGAGUAGUC
rnacentral:rRNA from 1 species